CAUCCUUAGAGGACACAGGGAGAAGACAAACGUCCCUUCAUCCUGAGAUUCACUUGGAAAUCCCCUGAACUUCCAACUCCUGGCUGAUGAAACGGAGCAAGUUGUCUCUGCCUUAUGGCCUCCAUCACCAAGCCUGAAGGAGAGUCUCUCAGCCCGGUUUGGGAGUAAACCCAAAACCGUUCAUUCGUCAGGGAAUGCCCCAGGAAACCAGGGCGGUCUUCCAAGCGGGCAGCCACGUUGCCUACUUGAGGCCAAGGCAGAAGCAUCAAUCACAUGGGGCGUAGUUUCUGUCUGGCUAAAGAACGGCUCACGCGGACCUCGGGAAUGCGACUGUGGAAACGACGGGGAAGCUGGAAGGGCUGGGUGGCGGGGGAAGCUGGAGGGCACAGCUUCCAGAUUCCAGUUUGUUAAGAAUCACCUGAAGGACGUUUCUCUGAAGGGAAAGUGGGCAUCUGUGAAGGGUUAGAGGCACAUACUUCAACUUUCCCUAGCACAAGAGUGGAAAUCCAUACUCCUUGGGGAGGGACUUUGUCACUGAACCUUAAGAAAAUGGUUACUGGACUGAGCUUGGUUACUUAUGCCUGUAAUCCUGACGUUUUGGUAGAUGGAAGUGGGAGCAUCGAUUGAGGCCAGGAGUUCUAGCCUAGGCAAUGUAGUGAGACUCUCAUCGAAAAGAAAAUAAAAAAAAGAAGAAAGAAUCUCGUGGCUGUCAUUUUUAAUGUUGCUGGUGUGCAGGGAGGCUGUUUUGACUCUUAUUUCCAUUCUUGGGCCACCGGCAGAGCAGGGCAAAGCUAUGAGGUUACAUAGACCUGGCUUAGACCCCAGUCCCAUUCCCCAGCAGCUUCAGGCCCAAGCAACGGUCUCCAUCUCCCUGAACACAGUCUCCUUAUAGGUAAAAUAACUGCAGAGUUGAUGCUGGAAUUAAAUCAAUGCAGUGGCGAGCCCAGCGCUGCAGAGCCCCGUGCUUAGUGACCAAAAUAAUGUCCCGCCUGCCUCAUCUUCCUCUCGGAUUUUUGCCAAGGCCAAACUGCGCGUGUCCCAGAAAAAAACCCUCGGACACUUGGCCUCUGCCCUGUCUCAGCCGAGUGACUAGGAUGACUGGGAAGUGAAUCACAGGAAAAUCACCCAAGCCCACUCUUCUCCACAGCCGGUGAGCAGAAGGAAGGAAGCAAAGAAGGAAGGGAGGAAGGGAAGAAGGGAGAGUUCAGUUCCCUUUCGUCGUUCACACAGUGGUCCUCCACACCAGGAAACCUAAGGGCUCUGUGGAGGGCCAGGUGCCGUGGCAGCAACACUCCUCAGGGCCUGUUUCAGCACCCCAUUUACGUGGCACAUGAAAAAUUCAGGAUGAACGCCCUGGCUGAAAGCUCUUCCUGGGUUUGGGACAUCAGAAGACCUUCCCGGGAUGGGCUCUUGUCUCUGCAGUAGCUAUGACCUGCACAUAAACCUGUUUCCUACACUGUAAAAUUGGCGUAACCACCAUUCCCUCCCAGUCUUUCUCUGGAGUCCUAAUGGGAACAGUGACGGAAUGAAAGUGACCACGCUGGAACCCGAAGCGCUGUUCCCCUCCGUGGCUUCACACUGAUCUCCACACUAGAAUUCCGUGUCUGCAGUUCAAGUUCAAACUACUGUGGUCGGGGAAGGGCUACAGAGAUCUCGCUUGGCCGUGGAGUCACCGGCCCCGUCCAGUCUUGCUUGGGACACAUACUGGUUUACACUCUCUCGGGUUCAGUUUCCUCAUCUGUAAAUGGGGCUCGUAUCCCCCUCAUAAAGUGGUUUGGGGGAUAAUAAAGCUUGUAAAAGCGCUUUGCCCCAGUGCUUGGCACAUAAUACGCGCUACGUUAACAAUGUCGCGUACACGCCCGAACCGGAGGAACCCCAUUCCACGCUCCUUCUGGAACCGAAUUCACCUCUGAGGCUUUGGGGCUUCAGAGCCGGAGCCGCUUGGGCAAAACCAGCAGAACAGCGAGAGGGAACGGGCUGGUCUAGCCCUGCCCUGAGCAUUUCUACUGAGACCCCCGGUCCUGCUUCUUCCAGCCUCUGCUGGAUUUCUCUCCGACCCCUCUGGAGCGAAGCCCUUUGGCCCUGCGUUGCAUGCGGCACGGUGCGGGUUCGGGCUCUGCGCUGGAGCCGGGAUGCCCUCCGGCGGAGGGUGCGCGUAGGCGGCGCCUGGGCGUGAGCCCCGCCUGCAAGGCUCAGCGUCGGGGAAGCACUUUUCUCGUCGACCCGGGGUCUUUUUCCGCCAAGGAGCUCGGGGCUCAAGAACUCGGGACUGGGCUGUGGGCGGGGCAUGGUUUUCCUCUCUGGGCGUCCUAAUCUCCAAUUUCAGGCAAAUUCGCUAGGAAGAACCUUCCCGAGCGCGCCUUCUCCAACAGGACCUCCAAGCCAGCCUCACGCACGCAGGCCUGGCUCUCUCCUGCAGAAUCCCCACCUGCCCUAUAACUACCCACUUCAGAUAUGGGGGAAUGGAGGAGAUAUUCCAAUCACGCCAUCUACCUACAGUUUCCACGGCCCCUUCUGUUGAAUGGUAUUUUCCUUUAGGGUCCCUAGAAGCAGAGCAAAUGAAAAGGCCAGGGGGAAAAAAAAAAAAAAAAGAAAGAACCGGUGAAUUGGCUCUGAGCCCAAUAAACGGUUCCUCUUUCCUUCUCCGGUCCUUUCCCUUCCAACAGAGCGAUUGAGAAAUCAUUUCAAUAAUCAGCAAAUCGGCUGGGAAAUGGAGAACCAGAAGGGAAUGUCCUAUCCAACAGCGCUUUUUCUUCUCUCAAUAGAAGCCCAGUCUUUCAUUUAGAUAUGAAUAUAGCUACUGUGCAUUUCUCCAUUAAUAAAUAUAAAUUUCCAAACUAGGUGGUGAGGGAUAUGAAUUUCCAUGGUACAUUGGGCCCUAGAGACACCAAGAAGCUUCAGGUCAUAAGGGGGUCUAUUCAGGCUAUGUCCAAGCACAACCAAAUUAUGGCAUUAAAAACAAGAGGUCUUGAUUCAGAUCUUUCACGUUUUAAUAACAGAGGGGGAUGCUGCUGAUAUAGAAAAGUGAUUGAAAAUAUUUGUAAACAUAUACUUCUCACUGGACCUCCAGUCAUGUUGGUGGGUGUGGUAGACAGAAUCAAGUACGUCAACUAGCUGUUUUCUGGUUUAGAAACAAAAAAUACCCCCAGCCCCACCCCCACUCUGGAGUCUUUGCUUCUCAACUACGAAAUGGAAAAAAAAGAACUCAAGUCCCAUUUAGACUGUGGGAGCUCAGCCCAUGAAGGGACUGUGGGAAUUGACAUGGAGAGUUUGGGGUGGAGAGGUGGAAGGGUGGAGGAAAUGAGAUCGGCAGCAGACACUGAGUCAGAGGCCUGAGACUAAGGCCUGGCUCUGUGUCCUUGAUAUCCCCAAGCCUCAGUGUUCACAUCUAUAAGAUGAGGAUAAUAUUGAUCUCACAGAACUGCUGUGAAGAAUCAACCACAUAAUAUAUGUGACGAUGGUUUUUCAUUAUCAGCCUUUCCUUGGCCUGGACCAAAUUGAAAGGAGACUGUGGGGCCAGGCAAGGUGGCUUGGAUCAUGCCUGUAAUACUAGCGCUUUAGGAGGCUGAGGCAGGAAGAUCCCUUGAGACCAGGAGUUUGAGACCAGCCUCAGCAACAUAGUGAGACUCUAUAUCUUAAAAAUAAAAUAAAAUAAAAUAAAAUAAAAUAAAAUAAAAUAAAAUAAAAUUAGCCAGACAUGGUGGUGCAUGCCUGUAGUCCCAGCUCCUCAGUGGGGAGAGUUGGGAGGAUCACUGAGCCCAGGAGGUCAAUGCUGCAGUGAACCAUGAUCUAGACACUGCACUCCAGCCUGGGUGACAAAGCAAGACCCCGUAAAAAAAAAAAGAAAGAAUGAGGAAGAAAGGAAAAGAGAAAAAAAGAAAAGAAAAGAGACCGUGGCAAAGAAGGCAAGGGUCCAGCUUGGGCCCAGCCCAGGGAUGGGUAUGAGCAUCCCCAUGGCUACUUGAUGCCCUGUCACGUGGGUUCAGCUGGCUUAGUCUCACCCUCUGCCAGAUCCAGGAGGAAGUGAGAAUCCAUUACAGUGGGCCUGUCUCAGCUCCUGUUUGCUUUGGCCACAGCGUGAUGGUGUCUUGCUGGCUUUGCCAACAGGAUUUAGGUGUUUGCUCUCCCGCCUGGCAUGGCUGCUAAGGCAGCUGGCAUUCUGCUCCUGCUUAUCAUGCUGGCUGAGACUUCCUGCUGCUGCUGCUUCCCCUUUCUCAGAUGGAUGGGGUCCUAUUUUAUUAUCAUUGUCACAAGACUCCUAUGCUUGAGAAAGCAGGGUGGUGAAAAGAGGCCACAGACUUUCCCUUUCAAAUGGCUCCCCAAGAAGUACAUACUCAAGGACUAAGAUGAAUCAGGAAGUACGCCAGGAAAAGAAAUGAGACAGAGAGCCAGAAAAAACAGGCACUAACCCUAGAUCUUUAAAGGACUUGCUUUGCUUUCCACACUUCUUUCCUCAUGCUUUCUGAGGACAGUAGUAGAUAGCGGGAGUAAAGGGGAAGGGAGCCCCUUGCUGAAGGUCACCCCACACCAGCCAGAGCCCACGGUUGGAGAGUCUUGGAGGAGAGUCUUGGAGGAAACAUGAUUAUCAGGUGCCUGAUGGGAAGAACAUGUGCUCAGAAUAAUCACAUCCCCUCCCAUAGCCAAGGCAACUCCCAGAACCUCCAGCCACCUCCCCAGCACAGUGUGCAUUCAGAAGACAUGAAAUCCCCUCCACAUGACACACUACCUGCUUGGCUUUCCAGGCUGCUAGUGAAUAACUUACAGUCAUGGCUGGAGAAUGCAAAAUAAUUGAAAGCAAUGCUUAGUAAAUUGCAGUUUCAAGGUCUUCAUUGCCUUCCUAACAAUUUGCAAAACUCAUUUUAUUGCUUUUUUAGAUUCCUCGAAUUGAAAUACCACUGCAUGCUGUAAUUAAGCUAAGUGACAUGCCAGCUGUAAAGGCAAGGGUUGUGAAUGAUUACAUUCAGUUCAUGUAAUCAUACAGGAUGAGUGUGGGGAGGGAGCCUACAACAGCUGCCGGUCUGCCUUGCUUACACUCUCUGCCAGGGUGGAAGGAAAGCUGGAAUCUAAACUCACUUUUUUUUAAAACAGGGUCUCCCUCUGUCACCCAGGCUGGAGUGCAGUGGCACAAUCAUAGCUCACUGUAGCCUCAGCCUCCUGAGCUCAAGCAAUCCUCCCACCUCAGUCUCCCGAGUAGCUGGGACUAUAGGUGUGCAACACCAUGCCUGGCAAAUUUUGUUGCUGUUGUUGUUUGGUAGAGACGGAGUCUCUAUGUUGCCUAAGCUAGUCUCAAACUCCUUGAGCAUCCUCCCACCUCAGUCUCCCAAAGUGCUGGAAUUACAGGUGUGAGCCACACACUCGGCCUGAAGUCACCCUUUUAAGGCUAGUAAGAGUUACCCAUGCUGUCUGAGGCGGCCUAAUCCAGUGUGGGGUAAGCCAGGCAAGUGGUUCCCAAACCUGACUAAGCAUCAGAACUCCC
rnacentral:lncRNA from 10 species